UCGUCAAGGAUUGGGUCCUCGUUUAUUGAUCAAGGGUUUCUUUAUUGACGAUGAAAUGGUGAACGUUCUUAAUGCUUAAGGAGUAGCUAAUCAAGCAAUAAAAGAAAGCAAGUAAAAGCAUACAUCAGAAAGGGGAGGGGGGUACAUGUAAUGUACAAGGGAGUGCGGAAAUAAAAUCAUUUAAGUGAAAGUCAAUUCUAAAAUUUAAACUCUAUCUAAACAUGAAAUAGAAUCAAAAUUAAUCACGCAAGAAAUAACAGCUGACAAUGAAUAUACGACAAUCUAUGUUAAUCGACCAAUUAGAAAAUUCUAGAAGUCCUAAAACUAGGGGAACAUGCAAGAUUAACCUAUUUCUAAGUCUAGGGGUAAAAUUGUCAUUUUACAAUUAUGGAUUAAUUUUCUAUACAUGAAAAUGACAAUUAAAUUCUACUAUAUUCUAAACUAAAUUUAAUAUUUCUAAUUAUCUUUUUUCUAAUUUCUAAGAUUUCUAAUUCUAAAACUAUUUACUUUUAAUAUUUCUAAAAAAAUCUAUUACACUAAUCUAAACAUUUUCUAAAUAUUUUUCCUAAUUAAAAUUCUAUAAC
rnacentral:lncRNA from 1 species